AAAUUAAAUUUAUUAAUAUAUUUAUUUUUUAUUGAUUUUUUAUAAAAGUAAUUUAUUUAUUUUAAGUUUUAGUAUUUAGUAAAAAUUAAUUUUUAGAUUUAUAGUUUAAUAGUAUUGUAAAAGAAUUAUUUAAAUUUGAAAAAGAAUAUUUUUAGUACCUUUUGUAUCAGGGUUAAUUAAAAUUUUUAAUUUUUUUUUAAAUUCUCAAAAUUUAUAGAGUUAAUUUUAUUAUUAAUUUAUUGUGUUAUAAAUAUUUAUAAAAUAAUAUUGGUUUUGAAAUUUAAUUCGUUAUAUUAUAUUUAGUUAUUUAAGAUUUAAAUUUAAUUUAAAAUUUUAAAAGUUAUUUUGAUUUUAUAUAUUAAUAUUUUAAAUUUAAAUUAUUUUAGGGAUAAGCUUGAAAUUUUUAUAUAAUAAUUUAUUUAUUUUAAUAAUUUAUAGGAAUAGAAAUUUUUAUUUUAAGUUUGUAAAAAUUUAUUAUUUGUUUAGUUUUAAUUUAUUAUAAUUUUAUUUAUUUUUUUAUUAAAUUUUAUUAAUUAAUAUUUAAUUUUUAGUAAUAAUGAUUAAAUUAGUAUAAUGUAUAUUUAUAAAUUAUGAAUUCGGCAAAAAUUAUUUUCAUCUGUUUAACAAAAACAUUGUAUUAAGUUUAAUUUAAUAUAGGAUCUGCUCAAUGAUUUAUUAAAUAGCUGCAGUAUUUUGACUGUGCAAAGGUAGCAUAAUAAUUAGUCUUUUAAUUGAGGACUUGUAUGAAAGAUUUGAUGAGAAAUAAACUUUAUUAUUUAUAUAAUUAAAAUUUUAUUUUUAAGUAAAAAAGCUUAAAUUAUUUAAAGGGACGAUAAGACCCUAUAAAACUUUAUAAAUAGUAAUUUUAAUUUUUUUGGAUUAAUAAAUAUUUUAAUUUUAUUAUUUAUUUUAUUGGGGUGAUAAAAAAAUUAUUAAACUUUUUUUAAAAUUUUACAUUAUUUAGUGAAUAGUUGAAUUAAAAUUUUUAAUUAAAGGAAAAAGUUACUUUAGGGAUAACAGCGUAAUUAAUUUUUUAAGUUCAAAUUUAAAAAUUAGUUUGCGACCUCGAUGUUGAAUUAAGAUUAAUCUUAGGUGCAAAAUUUUAAGUAUUAGGUCUGUUCGACCUUUAAAUUCUUACAUGAUUUGAGUUCAAACCGGUGUAAGCCAGGUUGGUUUCUAUCUUUUAAAAAAUAAUUUAUUUUAGUACGAAAGGAUUAAAUAAUUAAAUUAAAUUUUUAUUAAAUGAAUUAUAUUAAUUU